rnacentral:rRNA from 1 species
CCUACGGGUGGCAGCGGUGGGGAAUAUUGGGCAAUGAGCGCAAGCCUGACCCAGCAACACCGCGUGAAGGAAGAAGGCUUUCGGGUUGUAAACUUCUUUUAAGAGGGAAGAGCAGAAGACGGUACCACUUGAAUAAGCCACGGCUAACUACGUGCCAGCAGCCGCGGUAAUACGUAGGUGGCAAGCGUUGUACGGAUUUACUGGGUGUAAAGGGCGUGUAGCCGGGCUGACAAGUCAGAUGUGAAAUUCCGGGGAUCAACCCCGGACCUGCAUUUGGAACUGUUGGUCUUGAGUAUCGGAGAGGCAGGCGGAAUUCCUAGUGUAGCGGUGAAAUGCGUAGAUAUUAGGAGGAACACCAGUGGCGAAGGCGGCCUGCUGGACGACAACUGACGGUGAGGCGCGAAAGCGUGGGGAGCAAACAGGAUUAGAUACCCGAGUAGUC